UAAUUUGCAUUACUAGUAUUUCUGCUAUUCCCUUCUGCUACUACUUUUGGAAGACAUGACUGAACUGAAACACCUAAUUACACAUUAUUGUUCUUUUGGGCCCCGUCAGUUAUGACUGAACUGAAACACCUAAUUACAUAGUAUUGUUCUUUUGGCCCCCGUCAGUUGGCUUUAUGGAGAUAUAAUCCUCUGUGUGAUGUUGACAGUUUCAGCAAUCAAAUUGAUUCUGUAUCAAGGUAAAAGAGAUUUGACCCAUAUGGCUUAUCGAAGUAUGCAAGAUUGUUAUUUUCUGGUGUUUGCCAAGUUCUUUGCAUGCAUUUUGAAGAAACUACACCGACCAAGCAGGCCUGCUAAGUGUGUACUUAUGCUACUUUUGAUUUAUUUAGACAAAAAGAAAGGAAUCUCUUGCAUGGGCCUUUCCUUCUUGUCGAGGUAGAAUUUAUGCGUUAAGAAUGUCUUUAGGUUCCACUUGGAAGACUCAUGGAGCAUUCCUGCUUGAUCACUGUAUCCCUGUUGCUAGUUACUGUGUCUUCAACUCUGUACCUCUUUUGAUUAACUACUGGUCAUGUAACUUGGCAUCUUGUAAACAACUUGUUUUUCAUAAAAUAUUAAAAGCUUAUAAAUUUCAACUUCUU
rnacentral:lncRNA from 1 species